UACGUAGGGUGCAAGCGUUAAUCGGAAUUACUGGGCGUAAAGCGUGCGCAGGCGGUUAAGUAAGACAGUUGUGAAAUCCCCGGGCUCAACCUGGGAACUGCAUCUGUGACUGCAUAGCUAGAGUACGGUAGAGGGGGAUGGAAUUCCGCGUGUAGCAGUGAAAUGCGUAGAUAUGCGGAGGAACACCGAUGGCGAAGGCAAUCCCCUGGACCUGUACUGACGCUCAUGCACGAAAGCGUGGGGAGCAAACAGG
rnacentral:rRNA from 1 species